rnacentral:lncRNA from 1 species
GCUCACAUUAGACUUCCCCAGUUUGGUCACCAACAGGUUAUUUCGAGCUGAUCGCCUAUAGGUUGUUCCUGGUUCAGUCCUUAGCAGUUGUUCCCUAGUGGAGUCGCCUGAUUGAAACCUGAUCCUUGUUAUUUCCUCCUUCUCGGAUAAUUUUCCUCCUGGUAGAGCGGGUGAUGAAAAUGUUUAUUUUCCUAUCCCUAGCGGAGCAG